GUGAAUACUUUGGAGGCAAAAUGUAGCAGUGUGUUAGAGAUGAUACUGGACAUACUGGAAAGGAUCAGUUACAGUGUCGUAUUGAGUUCUGAAGUAAGCAAAGGCCUAUACUUUUGCCAACAUUCUCUAUUGAGGCGUUUUUGCAGUAGGACAGUUAGAGAAAAAUCAGGGGAUCAUGGCAAAAUCUAAAAGUGCGUCACACCAUCUGGAGUUCUGACUUUGAACAGGUCAUGGAUAUCUCAAAGCAGUUUUGAUGGUUUGGACUACAUGCCUGACACAUCAAUGAUGGCUGGAAGAGCCUGGUCUGUUGGUGUUCCUUGCAAAAAUGGAUAGCAGGGUGGUGGCGUUAAAGUCUGUCCUGCUGGUGGAUGGUGGGGAGACCAUUUGGGUGCAAGCGCUGGGGGUGACUCCUAGUGUGCUUGGCCAGGGAAUUACUGGUGCCAUCCAGAGACAUGUGACAGAGUAUGCCUGCAGUCACUUUCCACAGCUCACUUGCCCGAAAACUGUGCCCAGGACACGACCCAUCAUCUGAAAAAUGGUCUAUCACCUGUUGGCCAAAGAGGGAAUUCUUUCUUUGUGUUGUGAGGUAGGUGACAUAGGAUCUUUCGUUGAGGAACUACAACAGAGACUCGACCAAAAGUACAAGGCUGAGGCCUUUAACCCAGUGUCCCUGAGCAAAGCAGGCAGAAGAAGCAGUGCUGAGCACACGUGGUUGAAAACCUCUCUGUUGUGUGGCACCAUUAUCAAUGGCAGGGAGCCACUGAAGCUAAUGGAGGCUAAUCUGGAAGUGCUUCGCAGGAGGGGGCUGAACUGGGUAGCAGGCUGCCCACUCAGGCCCAAUGUCUCUGCACCAUACCCAGUGCCCUAUUGCCCUCCAUUUAAACAUCAACAUUUUUGAUCACAGCCUUGAUUCAGUCUGUGCUCUGUUCCUGGCACAGCUUAGAAACCCACUCUGAUGCUUGGUACUUACAGUACCAGUCAAAAGUUUGGAAACACCUACUCAUUCAAGGGUUUUUCUUUAUUUUCACUAUUUUCUACAUUGCAGAAUAAUAGUGAAGACCUAAAAACGACGAAAUAACACACAUACGUCUCACAAAGACACGGCGGUUGGAACCAAAAAUCUAACAUUUGGACUCAACAGACCAAAGGACAGAUUUCCACCGGUCUAAUGUCCAUUACUCGUGUUUCUUGGCUCAAGCAAAUCUCUUCUUAUUGGUGUCUUUUUAGUACUGGUUUCUUUGCAGCAAUUGGACCAUUAAGACCUGAUUCACAUAGUCUUCUCUGAACAGUUGUUGUUGAGUUGUUUUUGUUACUUGGACUCUGUGAAGCAUUUCUUUUUUGGCUGCAAUUUCUGAGGCUGGUAACUCUAAUGAACUUAUCCUUUCAUCUUUCUUUCCUGUGGCAGUCCUCAUGAGAGCCAGUUUCAUCAUAGCACUUGAUGGUU